GCGACGCCGCGUGAGGGACGACGGCCUUUCGGGUUGUAAACCUCUUUCAGCACAGACGAAGCGCAAGUGACGGUAUGUGCAGAAGAAGGACCGGCCAACUACGUGCCAGCAGCCGCGGUAAUACGUAGGGUCCGAGCGUUGUCCGGAAUUACUGGGCGUAAAGAGCUCGUAGGUGGUUUGUCGCGUUGUUCGUGAAAACUCACAGCUCAACUGUGGGCGUGCGGGCGAUACGGGCAGACUAGAGUACUGCAGGGGAGACUGGAAUUCCUGGUGUAGCGGUGGAAUGCGCAGAUAUCAGGAGGAACACCGGUGGCGAAGGCGGGUCUCUGGGCAGUAACUGACGCUGAGGAGCGAAAGCGUGGGGAGCGAACAGGAUUAGAUACCCUGGUAGUCCACGCCGUAAACGGUGGGUACUAGGUGUGGGUUUCCUUCCUUGGGAUCCGUGCCGUAGCUAACGCAUUAAGUACCCCGCCUGGGGAGUACGGCCGCAAGGCUAAAACUCAAAGAAAUUGACGGGGGCCCGCACAAGCGGCGGAGCACGUGGAUUAAUUCGAUGCAACGCGAAGAACCUUACCUGGGUUUGACAUGCACAGGACGUGCCUAGAGAUAGGUAUUCCCUUGU
rnacentral:rRNA from 1 species